GAGCAGCUGCAGAGGCAAAGCCUAGCCUGCCUUUUAACUUGCAGAGGGGCAAUGGCAGAACCAGCCCAGGCGCCGCGGUCCCGCCUGCUCGUGCCCGUGCUGCUGGCGCUCGGCUGGAUCCUGGGCUGUGCCCUCGUGGUGUACAUUGUCUUCUGCUGACAGGGGCAGGGCACGGCCGCACGCAGAGCCACGCCUGGUCGGAAGAACCUACAAUGAUGUUGAUGAGAAGAGCACAGAAACUCAAUUUAGAUUUCUAACGAGUAAAAUAUGAAUAAAA